rnacentral:rRNA from 1 species
GUCUACAGCCAUGCCACCCUGAACAUGCCUGAUCCCGUCUGAUCUCGGAAGUAAGCAGGGUCGGGCCUGGUUAGUACUUGGAUGGCAGACCACCUAGGAAGACCGGGUGCUGUAGGCG